UCCGUCUCAGCGAACCCAAGUUCUCGCUGAGGAUCGAACCAAAAACCAUAUCUCUCUUUCUCAUUCCUUCUCUUUUCUCUCUGCUCAACCGAGGCCAUCGCUGGAAGCUCACCUUCUUUACUCACGGAGCCGUCGCCGAUCUACGCCUUUCGGCGUCUAUUUCCUAGUUGCAGAAACAAAGUCGGUUUCCGCGUCUGUCGUGUUUCAGAGGUUCGCUACCUUCUCUGCAGAUCCUUUUAGUUAGGCAAAAAUCAUGGCAACUCUGAAAGACCUUCUUCCUGCUGUAAAGUCAACGACUGUAAUGCACUAUGAUCACUCAAAUGAUCCAUGGUUCAAGCAGCGGUUUAGUACAUCAGAAGCAGAGCAAACUUCUGUUAUCAAACCCAUUCCUGUGCCACCUUACUUGAAGCGUAGUGGAUUUGUUCCACGGAAAGUAGAGGAUUUCGGAGAUGGUGGUGCAUUCCCAGAGAUUCACAUUGCUCAAUACCCACUUGACAUGGGUAGAGACAAAUCAUCAAAGCCUGGAUCAAAGAUCCUUCCUGUUACAGUGGAUGCUCGUGGAAAUGUUGCAUAUGAUGCUAUUGUCAAGCAGAAUGAAAAUUCUAAAAAGAUUGUCUACUCGCAGCAUAAAGACCUCAUUCCAAAGAUUUUGAAAAAUGAUGAAGACCAUGAUGAGGAAGAAGAUGAAGAGUUGCAGAAAGAGAUUGAAGAAACGACCGAGGAAACAAAGUCUGCACUCGAAAAGAUAGUUAAUGUCAGAUUGAGUGCAGCUCAGCCUAAAAAUGUACCCAAACAAUCAUCGGAUUCAAAGUUUAUCAAGUAUAAGCCAUCUCAGCAAUCAGCUGCUUUUAAUUCAGGUGCCAAGGAGAGAAUAAUUAGAAUGGUGGAGAUGCCAGUAGAUCCACUUGAGCCUCCAAAGUUCAAGCAUAAGCGUGUUCCUAGAGCUUCUGGUUCUCCGCCAGUGCCUGUCAUGCAUUCCCCACCUCGUCCCGUCACCGUGAAGGAUCAACAGGAUUGGAAGAUACCACCUUGUAUUUCAAAUUGGAAAAAUCCAAAAGGUUAUACAAUCCCACUUGAUAAGCGCCUUGCAGCUGACGGGAGAGGCCUUCAAGAAGUCCAAAUUAAUGACAAUUUUGCAAAGCUAUCUGAAGCACUGUACGUUGCAGAACAGAAAGCUAGAGAAGCAGUUGCAAUGAGAUCGAAGGUUCAGAAAGAAAUGCUCAUGAAACAGAAAGAGAAAAAGGAGCUGGAGCUCCGUGCUUUGGCUCAGAAAGCUCGGUCUGAGAGGACUGGAGCUGCACCUCCUUCUGCGAUUCCUUAUCCAUCUGAGAGGAGCGCAGAAGAUGCUUCUGAGGUGAAAGGGGAUUUCGAGCGUGUAAGAGAAAAAGAGAAGGAUUUACCAAGGGAGACGCGGGAAGAAAGGGAAGAGCGGUUGCAGCGCGAGAAGAUUCGUGAAGAACGACGUCGAGAGAGGGAAAGGGAAAGAAGGUUAGAGGCCAAAGAUGCAGCAAUGGGGAAGAAGAGUAAGAUUACAAGAGAUAGAGAUCGUGAUAUCAGUGAGAAGGUUGCACUUGGUAUGGCUUCUACUGGAGCAGGUAGAGAAGGAGAGGUUAUGUAUGACCAGAGGCUAUUUAACCAAGAUAAAGGAAUGGACUCUGGAUUCGCCACUGACGACCAGUACAAUAUAUACGACAAGGGCUUAUUUACUGCUCAACCAACUCUUUCAACCCUUUACAGACCCAAAAAAGAUGCUGAUUCCGAUAUGUAUGGAGGUGCUGAUGAACAGUUGGACAAGAUUAUGAAGACUGAUCGCUUCAAACCCGACAAGUCGUUUUCGGGCACUGCAGAAAGGUCUGGACCUAGAGACAGGCCAGUUGAGUUUGAAAGAGAGGUCGAGGAAGCCGAUCCAUUUGGACUUGAUCAGUUCUUGACUGAAGUGAAGAAAGGUAAAAAAGCUAUGGAUAAAGUUGGCAGUGGCGGGACGAUGAGAGCCAGUGGUGGUUCUUCGACGCGAGAUGGUUAUGAUGGUGGCUCCGGUAGAACUCGCAUUGGGUUCGAAAGAGGGCAUUAGGAGGUGGAAAAGUUGGCAUACUGAUCAAGGGAAUAAUUUUCGGAGAAAAUGGUGCCAAAUUUUUCACAUGUAUAUCUUAGAUGCCUUGAGGUGAAACGGUUCAUUUAGGAAAAAAAAAAGGAACAUAGAACCUACGCUGGAUUUUCCUUUCCGAUUCUCUUGCUUUGAUUUAUUAACCGAAAACCCUAUUCGUGAGAGAGUAAUGAUGAAAAAGAAUGAUCGACGACGACCGCCACCAAAUAAUAAAUUAUUAAGAAAAAUAGGAGAAAAUGAAAGCUACCGAAUCAUGGAUUUUGGAGGGCAAACACGUCGACAGGUAUUCUCUUUCACCCAUUUUGAAGCACAUAUAAUAAAAAUUCGACUUUUAAAUGUUUGAUAAGAUUUUUGUUUCUGGUCUU